GACGAACCGUACGAACGUUAUUCGGAAUCACUGGGCUUAAAGGGUGCGUAGGCGGCGCGACAAGUUGGGUGUGAAAUCCCUCGGCUCAACCGAGGAACUGCGCCCAAAACUGUCGUGCUCGAGGGAGACAGAGGUGAGCGGAACUUAGGGUGGAGCGGUGAAAUGCGUUGAUAUCCUAAGGAACACCGGUGGCGAAAGCGGCUCACUGGGUCUCAACUGACGCUGAGGCACGAAAGCCAGGGGAGCGAACGGG
rnacentral:rRNA from 1 species